rnacentral:lncRNA from 1 species
UAAGGUUAAAGGUUAAAGCUAUAUAAGGAUAUUUCUGAGAAGACUGCUCCCCAUGUAUGUGAAGGUCAUUUUAAUCUGGAAGAAGCUAUGUUAAAUUCAAGUUAAAGGGAGGUCUGAAAAACAGGAAGGCUAAUGUACUUGUAACUUGCACCCAUCCUACUGCAGAAUCUCCAUAAAAAUACCUUCUCGAUCUGUAAAUGACGUUUUUUUUUACUUAGUACAUAUUUUUGUGCCUAACAUUGAUAUUCUCUAACUGUUAACUUUUAAUGAUGUCAUUUAGUUUUUACUAGCAUGAGACUU